CAAAGGUAGCAUAAUCACUUGUCUAUUAAUUGUAGACCAGCAUGAAUGGCAAAAUGAGGGUUUAACUGUCUCUUAUAGUAAAUCAAUUAAACUGAUCUCCUAGUAAAAAAGCUAGAAUACUUUCAUAAGACCAGAAGACCCUGUGAAGCUUAAACUAAACUACUAAACCAUAUAGUAACUACUUUCGGUUGGGGCAACCUUGGAAAAAAAAAGAACUUCCAACACAAUGACUAUAAAUCAUUAUACCCGGCCCACAAGCCCAUCUCAGACCCAGCAUAGCUGAUAUUUGAACCAAGUUACUCCAGGGAUAACAGCGCCAUCUUCUUCAAGAGCCCAUAUCAAAAAGAAGGUUUACGACCUCGAUGUUGGAU
rnacentral:rRNA from 1 species